rnacentral:rRNA from 1 species
GACGAGGCACUACGGUGCUGAAGCAACAAAUGCCCUGCUUCCAGGAAAAGCCUCUAAGCAUCAGGUAACAUCAAAUCGUACCCCAAACCGACACAGGUGGUCAGGUAGAGAAUACCAAGGCGCUUGAGAGAACUCGGGUGAAGGAACUAGGCAAAAUGGUGCCGUAACUUCGGGAGAAGGCACGCUGACACGUAGGUGAAGUGAUUUACUCACGGAGCUGAAGUCAGUCGAAGAUACCAGCUGGCUGCAACUGUUUAUUAAAAACACAGCACUGUGCAAACACGAAAGUGGACGUAUACGGUGUGACGCCUGCCCGGUGCCGGAAGGUUAAUUGAUGGGGUCAGCGCAAGCGAAGCUCCUGAUCGAAGCCCCGGUAAACGGCGGCCGUAACUAUAACGGUCCUAAGGUAGCGAAAUUCCUUGUCGGGUAAGUUCCGACCUGCACGAAUGGCGUAAUGAUGGCCAGGCUGUCUCCACCCGAGACUCAGUGAAAUUGAACUCGCUGUGAAGAUGCAGUGUACCCGCGGCAAGACGGAAAGACCCCGUGAACCUUUACUAUAGCUUGACACUGAACAUUGAGCCUUGAUGUGUAGGAUAGGUGGGAGGCUUUGAAGUGUGGACGCCAGUCUGCAUGGAGCCGACCUUGAAAUACCACCCUUUAAUGUUUGAUGUUCUAACGUGGACCCGUUACCCGGGUUGCGGACAGUGUCUGGUGGGUAGUUUGACUGGGGCGGUCUCCUCCUAAAGAGUAACGGAGGAGCACGAAGGUUGGCUAAUCCUGGUCGGACAUCAGGAGGUUAGUGCAAUGGCAUAAGCCAGCUUGACUGCGAGCGUGACGGCGCGAGCAGGUGCGAAAGCAGGUCAUAGUGAUCCGGUGGUUCUGAAUGGAAGGGCCAUCGCUCAACGGAUAAAAGGUACUCCGGGGAUAACAGGCUGAUACCGCCCAAGAGUUCAUAUCGACGGCGGUGUUUGGCACCUCGAUGUCGGCUCAUCACAUCCUGGGGCUGAAGUAGGUCCCAAGGGUAUGGCUGUUCGCCAUUUAAAGUGGUACGCGAGCUGGGUUUAGAACGUCGUGAGACAGUUCGGUCCCUAUCUGCCGUGGGCGCUGGAGAACUGAGGGGGGCUGCUCCUAGUACGAGAGGACCGGAGUGGACGCAUCACUGGUGUUCGGGUUGUCAUGCCAAUGGCACUGCCCGGUAGCUAAAUGCGGAAGAGAUAAGUGCUGAAAGCAUCUAAGCACGAAACUUGCCCCGAGAUGAGUUCUCCCUGAGACUUAGAGUCUCCUGAAGGAACGUUGAAGACGACGACGUUGAUAGGCCGGGUGUGUAAGCGCAGCGAUGCGUUGAGCUAACCGGUACUAAUGAACCGUGAGGCUUAACCUU